AUACCUCUCUUGGCCUUUUGUCUAAGAUCAAGUUUAGUAUUUGUUCUCACCAGUAAAAAAAUAUGCACUAAUGUUGCACAUAUUUGUGGCUAAGUACACGUAAUUAAAUGUGACCAUUUUGACUUUGUAUGGCAGAUCAAGCGUUUCUAUCUUCUGCUGACCGUCAAAGAUGCAGCAGUUGAUGUACCCUUU